GAGAGGUUGGAGCAGGAGACUGUUACAUACACAGAGAGGUUGGAGCAGGAGACUGUUAUAUACACAGAGAGGUUGGAGCAGGAGACUGUUACAUACACAGAGAGGUUGGAGCAGGAGACUGUUAUAUAUACAGAGAGGUUGGAGCAGG